rnacentral:rRNA from 1 species
UACGGGGGGAGCAAGCGUUGUCCGGAAUCAUUGGGCGUAAAGCGCGCGUAGGCGGCCAGAUAAGUCCGGUGUGAAAGUCACAGGCUCAACCUGUGAAUGCCGCUGGAAACUGUCUGGCUAGAGUCCGGAAGGGGCGAGUGGAAUUCCUGGUGUAGCGGUGAAAUGCGCAGAUAUCAGGAGGAACACCAAUGGCGAAGGCAGCUCGCUGGAACGGUACUGACGCUGAGGCGCGAAAGCGUGGGGAGCGAACAGG